AUGACAUGGCCGGUCUGGUUGCUGCAGUUGACGCCUCUCCACCGGCUGCAGUCCUGGCCACGCCACGAGGCAAGGAGGCCGGCGGGGUCACUUGUGAUGCCCUCUUUGAAGGAGAGCAAGGCAGUCCUCUCGGCGGCGAUGCAACCACCACCAUGGGAACUCGGGGGUUGCGGCGCACCACCCGUGAAGAAUGAACUGGCGCUUAUGAUGAUCAGGAGGAGGAGGCUGGCUGUGCGAUGCAUGCUGGAAGAAGAACAGUACCUUGCAGAGGAUGCUAGUGGAGAACUGGAGAUAUUCGGGUCUGGUUGGUGCUAG
rnacentral:rRNA from 1 species